rnacentral:lncRNA from 10 species
GGUCUGCCCUAUAGAUCAUCCUGUACCAGAGAUCUACAGCAUAAUGGCCUGGAAGCAGUCUUUGUUUUGGAGCCAAGCCCAGCAAAGUCUCAAUUCCUUCCCCUUCAAUCGCCAUCUGGAUGAACAAGGCCAAGUCAUUGACCUUCUCUGGGCCUCAGUUUCCUCACCCAUAAACUGGAGCAAAGUCAUCUCCAAGACAGCAGGAACCAUGUUUACUCUUUAAUCAUUGUAUGCUCCCUAAAUAUUUGCUGAACAAGUGAACAAAAAACCUGGUGGUGGUGAAAUUAGACUCCUUCUUGGUGUCACCAGGAGGUCCAGUUAAACAUACCAAGACUUGAGGAAUUAUGUCCAAGGUUCCAGCAUUGAACAUGAAGAACGCAGGAUUUAUUGGCACGUCGUGAUAACCGUAAAGCCCACGCUUCUACUGCAGUGUUGAGUUUGCGUGCCAACAGGAAAGAAUUCUGCAUGGGAGUCAGAACAUUUGUAUUAAAGACCUGAUUUUACUGGGCAACAGAGCGAGACCUUGUCUCUACAAAAAAUAAACAAAACUAACCAGGCACAGUGGUGUGCACCUGUAGUCCCAGCUACUUGGGAGGCUGAGGCUAUUGGCAGGAGAUCUUCCCAGAAGAAAAAGAAUGGAG